rnacentral:rRNA from 1 species
GAUGAACGCUGGCGGCGUGCCUAAUACAUGCAAGUCGAGCGAACAGACGAGGAGCUUGCUCCUCUGACGUUAGCGGCGGACGGGUGAGUAACACGUGGAUAACCUACCUAUAAGACUGGGAUAACUUCGGGAAACCGGAGCUAAUAACGGAUAAUAUAUUGAACCGCAUGGUUCAAUAGUGAAAGACGGUUUUGCUGUCACUUAUAGAUGGAUCCGCGCCGCAUUAGCUAGUUGGUAAGGUAACGGCUUACCAAGGCAACGAUGCGUAGCCGACCUGAGAGGGUGAUCGGCCACACUGGAACGGAGACGCGGUCCAGACUCCUACGGGAGGCAGCAGUAGGGAAUCUUCCGCAAUGGGCGAAAGCCUGACGGAGCAACGCCGCGUGAGUGAUGAAGGUCUUCGGAUCGUAAAACUCUGUUAUUAGGGAAGAACAAAUGUGUAAGUAACUAUGCACGUCUUGACGGUACCUAAUCAGAAAGCCACGGCUAACUACGUG